GCCGGGCUUUGCGCUUCCUGCUGCACACGUGGAGCCGCAGCAGCAGCCUGAUGCUUUUUCUGGGCAGCGCCGGAGAGGGACGGAUUGACAGGCAGCUGUUGGGCAGGCUGGACCUUUCAGCGAAACACCUGAGCAAGAAGCGACGUUGCAGAUUCACAUGGGAUCUAAUAUGGUUAUCAUUCCCAGAACAAGCAGUUGGCCUAGCAAUUGUAUGACCUGCCGUAAUGUUGAUGGAAGCUACAGAAGGGUAAUUAAAGAGACAAGAGGGAAGAAAAGUAGGAGACAGAGGAGAUGAGCAAUGCGCUGCUCAGAAAUUAAAACUUUGAAGAUGUAGUUUUGGGAAUCUUGAAGGGCUGACACAGGAGAACAGCAGACCUACUUGCCUCAGAGCCGGCCUGUGUUGCAGCAAGACGAUGGCUGAAUGCUUGCCUGGGAUUCGAAGCCCUUGUCCAGCCCCCCUGAACCAGAAUGAGGAAAGACUGAGCAAAGCCUUCCAAAGGUUGCAGCUUUUGAAAAACAUCCACCUGCCCACUGAUUCCUUUGCUUUGGACACUGGUUUAGCUGGACUUCUCCAAACCCAGCUGUUCUUCAGGUUUGACACAAAGGCAGAAGAGGUAACGCCUUUAUUGCUACCUGCAAUGCAAAGCCUUUAUUGGCAUACAAAAAAAAUUACAAAAUCGCAGCCUAAAAUAUAUAAUCAUAUAUAAAAUCAAUCAGACUCUCACUGAUGUUCAAUGGUUGCAUACCCUUAUUUCAUUCCGAAGCCUUAAUUACAUCAAAGAGAAAUUUAGCUACCAUUUUACAGAAAGCUUCAUUUGAAUUGUUUAAAAGAAAGUAAAUUUUUGGUCAUCCUUUAUUGCUACCUUUGAAUGUAAAGGAGCAUGGUGUGUGAGCAUAGGGAGUCUCCAGCCUGCAACCUUCCAUUCCACUGAGAAAAGUUUGGUUUCCUCCAGCCUAAAGUGUCCUUAAGGAGGCUCUUUCUCCAAUGGAGGAGCUGUGUAAACUGGAGGAAUACUUCUUGGGUUUAAGGGACUUCCAUCCAAAGGCUGGAUAUAGGCCAGUCUCUUCUAAAUUCUGCAGUAUGAAAGAACUGAGGGGUUUUUCUAUACUUCCUUGCAGGAGUAUGCAGGAGACUGUGUGUUUUCAUCCUUACCUGGAAAGUCAGGUAAGGGAGGAAGCUGCAUAUCUGCUCCCCAACUUGUAAUUAUGUAGACACUCAAAUAAGUUUGCAGAGUUUCUUCCAUUGUUGGAUGUGGCCUGUCCAUUCCUCCUGGGUGCCUCAAUAGCACUUCUGCUGCUGGGGAAAAAGCUUUAAAAACAUUUUUUUGCUACAAAACAAACAGCAACUUUAUGUACUUUGUGCUUUUAAAGGAAUUCUGCACAAAGUGAAUGUAGCCUCAAUAGGGCUGAGUUCUGUGACUUAUAUGCCUUUUACGAAUCCAGUGAACAUGGAUAUCUUUCUGCUAGUAACAGGGAAGGAGGAAUGUAAGGCUCUGAAGCACUUCCAAGUUCCACCACUGGAAAUCCUGCUCCAGUUACAGGCCUCGCUAGGGCUAAAAACUGACGUUUAAUGUUUUCAGUGAACCUAUGGAAACCAUAGCUCUCAUGCAGUGUAGUUCACUUUAACUCGAGGCUGGGCUGCCAUUUUGUGGGUAGUGUCCUUAAUGUGGCUAGUGGAACCCAAGUAUGUACACACAAGAGUUCAUCAGACUGUAUACACAGUACACAUUGAGUUUAUCUUUAAAAGUCCAUACUCAGGGCUACACACUUUCAUGUCCCCUUUCCCUCCAUUACCGCUGCCUUACUUGAUAUGUUCAAGCUAGAAACUGCUGCAGAAAAUGUAAGAAGGGCAUUCAGUCGUGUUUUCUAAAUAGUCACCUUGUGAACAGUUCCAUUCUACUGCCAUCAUAUCUGCACUCUCAUGUUUGUCUCCCAUCCCUUCCUUUUUGCUAUUUGUGCAAGUACUCUUUGUCUGCUUGAACUCUACCUUGUUUUGAAAAGUAGACUUUUGUAUUGGUGUCCGUAACAUUUCAGACUGUACUCUGAUGGUUAAUGGAGCAGGGGAUGUAUUGGUAAACUGUUGUAGCUUUAUUUAAAAGGGGGGAAAUCAUUGGGUUAGCUUUAUUUAAAAGGGGGGAAAUCAUUGGGUCAUUGGGUUCAGAUUACAGAUGAAGCAAGCAAAUGGACCAGGUGGAAAUGAUAUUGUGGACUCACUCACAGCUGAGGUACUAAGAACCUCAUAAGGAUGCAAUUGCCCCCUUGGAUCUACUACUGUUGUUUCCAACAGUGGCUAACCAAAUGCCUCUAGGAAACUCAUAGGCAGGAGCGUCAAAUGAUAGCUAGCUCCUUCUCUUUGCCCCCAAAACCCAGUAAGAGGUAUAUUGCUUUUUGAAUGUGGAAGUUCCACUUGGCUAGAGCCCUAGUUGUCUUCGCUUUUCUUGUAAGACUAUGUUCUAACCUUAUGAUAAUUCAGAAGUAUCCAAUCAAAAUGUGUUUAUUCUAUGUAACAAUAAUUAAUUACAAUAAAGAAUUUUUAAAAAGA